AUGCAUCUCUGACAGACCCGGAGCAGUUAAUAUCUGCUGUUAAGGUUUCCACUAUAUUUGCAAGGAAAAGGAAGUCCACGUGCUUUCUGUCUUGUCUGGUUGUGGCAGCCAAGAUUGAAUGGGGGAAGACAGGA
rnacentral:snoRNA from 1 species